CUAAACUGAACUUUUCCCUUCAGUCAACAUUAGGGUUUUAAACCCUAAACUGAACUCUUUCCUUUAGUCAGCAUUAGGGUUUUAAACCCUAAACAGAAUUUUUCCCUUCAGUCAGCAUUAGGGUUUUAAACCCUAAACUGAACUCUUUUCUUCAGUCAGCAUUAGGGUUUUAAACCCUAAACUGAACUUUUUCAUCUCAGUCAGCAUUAGGGUUUUAAACCCUAAAUUGAACUUUUUCCUUUAGUCAGCAUUAGGGGUUUAAACCCUAAACUGAACUCUUUCCUUUAGUCAGCAUUAGGGUUUUAAACCCUAAACUGAACUUUUUCCAUUCAGUCAGCAUUAGGGUUUUAAACCCUAAACUGAACUUUUUCCUUUAAUCAGCAUUAGGGUUUUAAACCCUAAACUGAAAUUUUCCAUUCAGUCAGCAUUAGGGUUUUUAACCCUAAACUGAACUUUUUCCAUUCAGUCAGCAUUAGGGGUUUUAAACCCUAAACUGAACUUUUUUCUUUAAUCAGCAUUAGGUUUUUAAACCCUAUACUGAACUUUUCCAUUCAGUCAGCAUUAGGGUUUUAAACCCUAAACUGAACUCUUUUCUCAGUCAGCAUUAGGGUUUUAAACCCUAAACUGAACUUUUUCCCUUUAGUCAGCAUUAGGGUUUUAAACCCUAAACUGAACUCUUUCCUUCAGUCAACAUUAGGGUUUUACACCCUAAACUGAACUUUUUCCAUUCAGUCAGCAUUAGGGUUUUAAACCCUAAACUGAACUCUUUCCUUUCAGUCAGCAUUAGGGUUUUAAACCCUAAACUGAACUUUUCCUUUAGUCAGCAUUAGGGUUUUAAACCCUAAACUGAACUUUUUCCAUUCAGUCAGCAUUAGGGUUUUAAACCCUAAUCUGAACUUUUUCCUUUAAUCAGCAUUAGAGUUUUAAACCCUAAACUGAAAUUUUCCAUUCAGUCAGCAUUAG
rnacentral:lncRNA from 1 species